GCAGGAUUUAGCACGUGAGGGAUUACAUAAACUCCUGUUUAGGAGCUUUCAGGUCUCAGGCUGAGGUAAGGGAGGUGGAAAGUUGUACUUGAAAGAUCAAAGAUAAGUCAAACCGUUCUAAAAUGGUUUGACGUCUUACAACGAGGGGCACUCCUGACAUAGUAACCAUUAGAGAGUACUGUUCCUUUAAAGCUUUAGCAUAUGACAGCCAAAUGCAGUUUAGACAAGGUAUAUCCAGAGUAAACGUUGCAAAUGAAGAGGAGAAAUAAAACAACGUUUCUUCUUGGUAUGUUUUCUCUAUGCUGACUGCCAGGUGAGAAAGAAAACUAUAUAUUGAGUCUAUAGCAGUGACUAACAGAACUAAAAUUGAGGGGUUCUAUUAGAUGAUAGAGAAGUGUGGAUUUCUACAUUAGACCUCAAAUAACAAAUUUGUAAAACAUGGGAAUAUGUAAACAUAAUAUUAAAAUUCCGGGGAUGUAACAUAUUCCCUUUAAACCUAGUAGCAUUUGAAUCCAUGGCUUGCACGCUAAACAUGCCGUGUGUUUGGAUGUAUAUUAUUCUGCACGUAAAUGGAACUUUGAAAUAUCUUUUCAUUCUUAUGAGAUAGUGAAUUUUGCCUCCGCCUCUGAAUUCUGGUACCCCUGAAAUAAAGAUAACAUUGUACAUUGUACGUACAUAUUUUUCUUUAACAAUUUUUACGCCUGGAAGGGUCUGCUAGUCUUGCAAUAAUCUAUAGGUGGCAACAAAUGUGGCCUGCUAAAUGGUUUCAAUUCAAGCGUGAACUGACUGAAAUUGUCACACAAAAAGGGUUAUUCACAACUAUUUUUGGAAAUUACCGGUACAUUCUAAGUGAAUUUCAAAUUUAAGGCCAAAAUAGCCGAAUUGGAAAAAAUCACAAAGUCAGCUAUGCUUUCAGUUUAGCUACUUUGGUCUUAAAUUUCAAAUUCAAUUUGAAUUCUCACUUAUAUCCUUU